rnacentral:rRNA from 1 species
GACGAACGCUGGCGGCGUGCUUAAUACAUGCAAGUCGAACGAACUCUGGUAUUGAUUGGUGCUUGCAUCAUGAUUUACAUUUGAGUGAGUGGCGAACUGGUGAGUAACACGUGGGAAACCUGCCCAGAAGCGGGGGAUAACACCUGGAAACAGAUGCUAAUACCGCAUAACAACUUGGACCGCAUGGUCCGAGUUUGAAAGAUGGCUUCGGCUAUCACUUUUGGAUGGUCCCGCGGCGUAUUAGCUAGAUGGUGGGGUAACGGCUCACCAUGGCAAUGAUACGUAGCCGACCUGAGAGGGUAAUCGGCCACAUUGGGACUGAGACACGGCCCAAACUCCUACGGGAGGCAGCAGUAGGGAAUCUUCCACAAUGGACGAAAGUCUGAUGGAGCAACGCCGCGUGAGUGAAGAAGGGUUUCGGCUCGUAAAACUCUGUUGUUAAAGAAGAACAUAUCUGAGAGUAACUGUUCAGGUAUUGACGGUAUUUAACCAGAAAGCCACGGCUAACUACGUGCCAGCAGCCGCGGUAAUACGUAGGUGGCAAGCGUUGUCCGGAUUUAUUGGGCGUAAAGCGAGCGCAGGCGGUUUUUUAAGUCUGAUGUGAAAGCCUUCGGCUCAACCGAAGAAGUGCAUCGGAAACUGGGAAACUUGAGUGCAGAAGAGGACAGUGGAACUCCAUGUGUAGCGGUGAAAUGCGUAGAUAUAUGGAAGAACACCAGUGGCGAAGGCGGCUGUCUGGUCUGUUAACUGACGCUGAGGCUCGAAAAGUAUGGGUAGCAAACAGGAUUAGAUACCCUGGGUUAGUC